AGAGUUUGAUCAUGGCUCAGAUUGAACGCUGGCGGCAGGCCUAACACAUGCAAGUCGAACGGUAACAGGAAGCAGCUUGCUGCUUCGCUGACGAGUGGCGGACGGGUGAGUAAUGUCUGGGAAACUGCCUGAUGGAGGGGGAUAACUACUGGAAACGGUGGCUAAUACCGCAUAACGUCGCAAGACCAAAGAGGGGGACCUUCGGGCCUCUUGCCAUCAGAUGUGCCCAGAUGGGAUUAGCUAGUUGGUGAGGUAACGGCUCACCAAGGCGACGAUCCCUAGCUGGUCUGAGAGGAUGACCAGCCACACUGGAACUGAGACACGGUCCAGACUCCUACGGGAGGCAGCAGUGGGGAAUAUUGCACAAUGGGCGCAAGCCUGAUGCAGCCAUGCCGCGUGUAUGAAGAAGGCCUUCGGGUUGUAAAGUACUUUCAGCGGGGAGGAAGGUGUUGUGGUUAAUAACCGCAGCAAUUGACGUUACCCGCAGAAGAAGCACCGGCUAACUCCGUGCCAGCAGCCGCGGUAAUACGGAGGGUGCAAGCGUUAAUCGGAAUUACUGGGCGUAAAGCGCACGCAGGCGGUCUGUCAAGUCGGAUGUGAAAUCCCCGGGCUCAACCUGGGAACUGCAUUCGAAACUGGCAGGCUUGAGUCUUGUAGAGGGGGGUAGAAUUCCAGGUGUAGCGGUGAAAUGCGUAGAGAUCUGGAGGAAUACCGGUGGCGAAGGCGGCCCCCUGGACAAAGACUGACGCUCAGGUGCGAAAGCGUGGGGAGCAAACAGGAUUAGAUACCCUGGUAGUCCACGCCGUAAACGAUGUCUACUUGGAGGUUGUGCCCUUGAGGCGUGGCUUCCGGAGCUAACGCGUUAAGUAGACCGCCUGGGGAGUACGGCCGCAAGGUUAAAACUCAAAUGAAUUGACGGGGGCCCGCACAAGCGGUGGAGCAUGUGGUUUAAUUCGAUGCAACGCGAAGAACCUUACCUGGUCUUGACAUCCACAGAACUUUCCAGAGAUGGAUUGGUGCCUUCGGGAACUGUGAGACAGGUGCUGCAUGGCUGUCGUCAGCUCGUGUUGUGAAAUGUUGGGUUAAGUCCCGCAACGAGCGCAACCCUUAUCCUUUGUUGCCAGCGAUUAGGUCGGGAACUCAAAGGAGACUGCCAGUGAUAAACUGGAGGAAGGUGAGGAUGACGUCAAGUCAUCAUGGCCCUUACGACCAGGGCUACACACGUGCUACAAUGGCGCAUACAAAGAGAAGCGACCUCGCGAGAGCAAGCGGACCUCAUAAAGUGCGUCGUAGUCCGGAUUGGAGUCUGCAACUCGACUCCAUGAAGUCGGAAUCGCUAGUAAUCGUGGAUCAGAAUGCCACGGUGAAUACGUUCCCGGGCCUUGUACACACCGCCCGUCACACCAUGGGAGUGGGUUGCAAAAGAAGUAGGUAGCUUAACCUUCGGGAGGGCGCUUACCACUUUGUGAUUCAUGACUGGGGUGAAGUCGUAACAAGGUAACCGUAGGGGAACCUGCGGUUGGAUCACCU
rnacentral:rRNA from 1 species